rnacentral:rRNA from 1 species
GAGACUCUGUGCGCGUGCAUAUCAAUAAGCGGAGGAAAAGAAACUAACAAGGAUUCCCAUAGUAACGGCGAGUGAAGCGGGAAGAGCUCAAAUUUGAAAUCUUCAAGGUUUUACCUGACGAAUUGUAGUUUAAAGAAGUGUUUUCUGUUGAAGUUUUGGUAAAAGUUCUUUGGAAUAGGACAUCAUAGAGGGUGAGAAUCCCGUAUUUGACCAUUAUUUUCAGCUGUGUGAUACACUUUCAAAGAGUCGGAUUGUUUGGGAAUGCAGUCCAAAAUGGGUGGUAAAUUUCAUCUAAAGCUAAAUAUUGGCGAGAGACCGAUAGCGAACAAGUACCGUGAGGGAAGGAUGAAAAGAACUUUGAAAAGAGAGUUAAACAGUACGUGAAAUUGUCAAAAGGGAAGCGUUUGACACCAGUGUUGUUUAGUUGAAAAUCAAUUCAAUAAUUUUAGAUUUUAAGUAGUAUUGACUUCAUCAGCUUGCUGCUUUCUUUUCAGGAAUUAUUGAAUGCACUUUUCAGUUAACAAGUCAACAUCAAUUUCUUUUGUUGUAAAAGGGUAUGAGGAAGGUGGCUUACGCUUCGGCGUAAGUGUUUAUAGCCUUUUACCUCUGCAAUCGGAGAGAUUGAGGAUCUGCAGCGUAGACUCUUCGGGGUUAGAUACACUUGUGCUAAGCUAUAGCCUUGUAUAGACAACUUGUUGACUAUGCUCAGUCAUGUAGCUUACUCGCUUGAUGCUAUUUUACCUACGCUUAGGAUGUUGAAGAUGUAGCACAUCAU